rnacentral:rRNA from 1 species
AAUAUUGGACAAUGGGGGCAACCCUGAUCCAGCCAUGCCGCGUGUGUUAAGAAGGUCUUCGGAUUGUUAAGCACUUUAUGUUGGGAGGAAGAGAUUUAGGUUAUUACCCUGAAGUUUCGACUUUACCAACCGUAUAAGUAUCGGCUAGCUCUGUGACAGCAGCCGCGGUCAUACAGCGGGUGCAAGCGUUAAUCGGAAUUACUGGGCGUAAAGCGCGGGUAGGUGGUUCAGUAAGAUGUGUGUGAAAACCCCGGACGUAACCUGGGAACUGCUUUCAUAACUGCUGAGCUAGAGUACGGUAGAAGGUAGUGGAAUUUCCUGUGUAGCGGGGAAAUGCGUAGAUAUAGGAAGGAACAACAAUGGCGAAGGCGACUACCUGGACUGAUACUGACACUGAGGUGCGAAAGCGUGGGGAGCAAAC